ensembl:lncRNA
CAGCAUUUAUUGUCCAAAUUCCUGUCAGCUCUCUCUAAUCCUCCAGCUAAAAGAGGAUAUUCGGUCUGUUAGUCAUCAGAGACUUUUUUUGUAAAUUUCGUUUCCAAUUUUGGCUGUGUUUUUUUGUUGUUGUCAUGGCGACAGGAUGAGUGGGUUUUUAGGGAGCAUUCUCUGGAAAACAAACCAUUCCCUCUGGUUCAGUAUGGUGGGUUAGUGUGGAAAGGUGGUGUUUUUGAGAUGUACGAACACAGAUGGUGAUGGAUACGAACAGGCUGAUGAAGGCUGUGCAUGUUUGCUCUUGGAAAUCAUCUGUUCCUGAACAUCAUCAUUGCUUGACACAAGAUUCGUCCAACCAUUCCAGUAAUGCAUUGGAAUGCCUUGAGGUUGGAUCCCAGUGGAUUCCGCAACUCAAUCAAGGCCAGGUCAUUGCUGUUUUCUGCAGGAAGAUGGCCCCUGAAGCCCCUGGCAGCCCGACAUUGGCAUCAUCUCCGUAACUGGCAACUAUAUUGUCCACAGUAGCAGCUGUGACUCACCUCGGGGACGAAGCGCUGGUCUCACUGCACAUGGUCAUGUCACCAUAGCCACCAGAUCCAGUCUGUAUCCAGAUCAGAUGGUCACUGUAGUCACCCGGAUCCAUUACGUAUCCAGCCCAGAUGGUGGAUCAGCACCUAGAAAGGACCUCUACAGCCCUGAAUGUCAGUGGAGACCAGGACAACUAGAUGAGCCUCAGAUCCCCUGUAAAGACCUUGUCUCAGACGGCCACCGGGACAAGACCACAGGAACCAGUUGAGUCCUCGGCACAAUGUGACUUUGCUGCAGCCUGGAAUUGAACUGCUGUUUUCGUCUGGCCAGAGGAGAACUCCCAACUGAUCCUGGUUUCUCCCAAGGUUUUUUCUCCAUUCUGUCACCGAUGGAGUUUUGGUUCCUUGCUGCUGUCGCCUCUGGCUUGCUUAGUUGGGGACACUUCAUUUCCAGCGAUAUUGUUGACUUGAUUGCACAGAUAUUUAAACUGAACUGAACUUGACUCUAUGUAGAAACUAUGCUCCCUAAUUUAAAAGGAAAUGUGAAGGCUAAAAUAAGCUUAUGGUGCUGGUAGUCAGUGACAUUUGUUAUGUGCUCACAGCUAAGGUUCUUGAAAUAUGUGUCUUGGAAAGAGUCUGGACUCCAUCCAAGUAUGAGAGGGAAUUUGGCUCAGUGAUCCACACUGUACACUGCUCCAUCCAGGGAACCAUAACAAUUCCUCUGCUCUGUUUUCCUCCUCUCCAGCUAAAAACUGUUUCUCUUAGAGACCAUACAAUCUAGAGGCCUGUUGUUGCUGCUCAGUUAAAUAUCAUACCUAGCAUUUCUGUUUCCUGACCGAGGUAAGCCUGUUUUUAUUAUUCAGUCAUUGAAUAAAAAUGCAUGUUAUACACAGUUAUAUAAUACUAUAGUUCCAAAAAAUUUUUGGGUAUUUAAGCCAGUAAAAUGUUAAAUCUAGUUGCAUUAGAUAACAAUACACUACUGUUUAAAAGGUUUAAUCAAUUGAGCAAUUAAUUUACCAACCAUAACUUUUGAAUGUUAGCAUAUUUCAAACAGAAAUGUAUCCCCAAACAAUUAAUGCUAGAUUUUUC